UACGAGGGGUGCAAACGUUAUUCGGAAUCAUUGGGCGUAAAGGGUGUGCAGGCGGCUUAUUAAGUCUGUUGUUAAAUUUCCCGGCCUAACCGGGAGCCAGCAGCGGAAACUGAUAAGCUAGAGGUGGGAGAGAGAAGUGGAAUUCUCGGAGUAGCGGUAAAAUGCGUAGAAUCUCGAGAGGAACACCGAUGGCGAAGGCAGCUUCUUGGCCCAUUCUGACGCUGAGGCACGAAAGCGUGGGAGCAAACAGG
rnacentral:rRNA from 1 species